rnacentral:rRNA from 1 species
GACGAACGCUGGCGGCGUGCUUAACACAUGCAAGUCGAACGAUGAAGCCGCUUCGGUGGUGGAUUAGUGGCGAACGGGUGAGUAACACGUGGGCAAUCUGCCCUGCACUCUGGGACAAGCCCUGGAAACGGGGUCUAAUACCGGAUACGACCAUCGGCCGCAUGGCCUGGUGGUGGAAAGCUCUGGCGGUGCAGGAUGAGCCCGCGGCCUAUCAGCUUGUUGGUGGGGUGAUGGCCUACCAAGGCGACGACGGGUAGCCGGCCUGAGAGGGCGACCGACCACACUGGGACUGAGACACGGCCCAUACUCCUACGGGAGGCAGCAGUGAGGAAUCUUCCGCAAUGGGCGAAAGCCUGACGGAGCGACACCGCGUGGAGGAUGAAGCCCUUUCCGGGCGUAAACUCCUGUUCUGAGGGACGAAAUUUUGACGGUACCUCAGGAGAAAGCAUCGGCUAACCCUGUGCCAGCAGCCGCCGUAA